GCCAGACUCCUACGGGAGGCAGCAGUGGGGGAUAUUGCACAAUGGGGGGAACCCUGAUGCAGCGACGCCGCGUGGGUGAAGGAGCGUUUCGGCGCGUAAAGCCCUCUCGGCAGGGAAGAAGGAGGACGGUACCUGACUAAGAAGCCCCGGCUAACUACGUGCCAGCAGCCGCGGUAAUACGUAGGGGGCAAGCGUUAUCCGGAUUUACUGGGUGUAAAGGGGGCGCAGACGGCAGCGCAAGCCAGGAGUGAAAGCCCGGGGCCCAACCCCGGGACUGCUCUUGGAACUGCGCGGCUGGAGUGCAGGAGGGGCAGGCGGAAUUCCUAGUGUAGCGGUGAAAUGCGUAGAUAUUAGGAGGAACACCAGUGGCGAAGGCGGCCUGCUGGACAGUAACUGACGUUGAGGCUCGAAAGCGUGGGGAGCAAACAGGAUUAGAUACCCCUGUAAA
rnacentral:rRNA from 1 species